AACGAACGCUGGCGGCAUGCCUAACACAUGCAAGUCGAACGAGACCUUCGGGUCUAGUGGCGCACGGGUGCGUAACGCGUGGGAACCUGCCCUUAGGUUCGGAAUAACUCCCCGAAAGGGGUGCUAAUACCGGAUAAUGUCUUCGGACCAAAGAUUUAUCGCCUUUGGAUGGGCCCGCGUUGGAUUAGCUAGUUGGUAGGGUAAAAGCCUACCAAAGCGACGAUCCAUAGCUGGUCUGAGAGGAUGAUCAGCCACACUGGGACUGAGACACGGCCCAGACUCCUACGGGAGGCAGCAGUGGGGAAUAUUGGACAAUGGGCGAAAGCCUGAUCCAGCAAUGCCGCGUGAGUGAUGAAGGCCUUAGGGUUGUAAAGCUCUUUUACCCGGGAUGAUAAUGACAGUACCGGGAGAAUAAGCUCCGGCUAACUCCGUG
rnacentral:rRNA from 1 species